CCUACGGGGGGCAGCAGUGAGGAAUAUUGGUCAAUGGACGAGAGUCUGAACCAGCCAAGUAGCGUGAAGGAUGACUGCCCUAUGGGUUGUAAACUUCUUUUAUAUGGGAAUAAAAUGUUCCACGUGUGGGAUUUUGUAUGUACCAUAUGAAUAAGGAUCGGCUAACUCCGUGCCAGCAGCCGCGGUAAUACGGAGGAUCCGAGCGUUAUCCGGAUUUAUUGGGUUUAAAGGGAGCGUAGGUGGAUUGUUAAGUCAGUUGUGAAAGUUUGCGGCUCAACCGUAAAAUUGCAGUUGAAACUGGCAGUCUUGAGUACAGUAGAGGUGGGCGGAAUUCGUGGUGGAGCGGUGAAAUGCUUAGAUAUCACGAAGAACUCCGAUUGCGAAGGCAGUUCACUGGACUGCAACUGACACUGAGGCUCGAAAGUGUGGGUAUCAAACAGGAUUAGAUACCCCAGUAGUC
rnacentral:rRNA from 1 species